ACAUUCUGUUACUCAGAAGCAUACUUUGUUCUAUUUGACUAAUUUCCACUCUCCCCAAAUAUGUAUUCUUGCAGUCAGAUCUUUACACAUGUAAAGAAGGUGUCUUAACUCGUAAUCCAGCUUGGACUAACCCUUUAAAUCCAGUGAUAGAUCUGGGACCUGAAUUUCAAAAGGGUGGUGACUUUCAAAGUCGCUUCAAAUCCAUUCCAAGCAUCGUUGGUUUAGAUAGUUUGACCGUGAGAGGCAAUGUGUGGUUUGGAGCUAAUAUUACUUUCAAGGGGCAAGUGGCUAUUACUGCAAAACCUGGCUUGAGACUGGAAAUUCCUGAUGGGGUGGUGAUUGAGAAUAAGGAGGUCAAUGGCCCUGCAGCCAUUCAAGAAUGAAUGGUUUAUCAAAGCUACUAGGUUUUUUUUUGAGUGAAUACAAGACUAUAGAAGCUUUUAUUUGAACCUUGCUAGCUUUUUUGUUUCCUGGGAACUAAGGUUCAGAAGCAAAUGAGCUUGCAUUUCUCCUUUUGAGCAUCGCAGCAGUGAUAAAACAACACUAAUUGGUUUGUAUCCUAUAAUUUUUGGGACAAGUCUUGAUCUCAAUCGAAACAAGGAAUAAUAGGUAUAUCAUCAAUUUUUCUGGUCUU